rnacentral:rRNA from 1 species
GAGCACUGAUCGGGCUAGGGGCCAUAAAGGUUACCGAACCCUGUCAAACUCCGAAUGGUUAUACUGUAGAGCUUGGGAGUCAGACUACGAGUGAUAAGAUCCGUGGUCAAAAGGGAAACAGCCCAGACCACCAGCUAAGGUCCCCAAUGUCGUACUAAGUGGAAAAGGAUGUGGGGUCUCUAAAACAACCAGGAUGUUGGCUUAGAAGCAGCCACCAUUUAAAGAGUGCGUAAUAGCUCACUGGUCGAGAGACCCUGCGCCGAAGAUUACCGGGGCUAAAGUACGAAACCGAAGCUGUGGCUACGACGUAAGUCGUGGGGUAGGGGAGCGUUCUGUGAGGGCUGAAGUCGUUCUGUAAGGAACGGUGGACUUCACAGAAGUGAGAAUGUUGGUAUGAGUAGCGAAAAGAAUGGUGAGAAUCCAUUCCACCGAAAGCAUAAGGAUUCCUGGGCAACGAUCGUCGUCCCAGGGUAAGUCGGGACCUAAUCCGAGGCAUGGAGCGUAGGAGAUGGACAACUGGCAGAUAUUCCAGUACCGGUAAUGAUUGUUUGAGCGAUGGAGUGACACAGGAGGGCAGGCAGGCAGGAGAUUGGUUGUUCCUGUACAAGCGUGUAGGAUGGGACGUAGGCAAAUCCGCGUCCUGUGAGUCUGAGGCGUGAUGUGGAGGUUCCGGAAACGGAACUGAAGCUGCUGACCCCACACUGUCGAGAAAAGCUUCUAGUUAGAGAAUUACCGCCCGUACCGUAAACCGACACAGGUAUGCGGGGAGAGAAUCCUAAGGUGCGCGGGAGAACCCUCGUUAAGGAACUCGGCAAAAUGUACCCGUAACUUCGGGAUAAGGGUAGCCGCUGUUGUGAAGUCUGAACAGAUGGAGCAUGAGGCGGUCGCAGAGAAGAGGCCCAAGCGACUGUUUACCACAAACACAGGUGCCUGCUAAAGAGAAAUCUGACGUAUAGGUGCUGACACCUGCCCAGUGCCGGAAGGUUAAGGAAGGAUGUCCGGAGCAAUCCAAAGCAUUCGACCGAAGCCCCGGUGAACGGCGGCCGUAACUAUAACGGUCCUAAGGUAGCGAAAUUCCUUGUCGGGUAAGUUCCGACCCGCACGAAAGGUGUAACGAUUUGGGCACUGUCUCAACGAGGGACCCGGUGAAAUUGAAGUACCUGUGAAGAUGCAGGUUACCCGCGACUGGACAGAAAGACCCCAUGGAGCUUUACUGUAACCUGAGAUUGGAUUCCGGUAAGAGAUGUACAGGAUAGUUGGGAGGCUGAGAAGUGAGUACGCCAGUAUUCACGGAGCCAUUGGUGGGAUACCAACCUUGUUUUAUUGGAAUUCUAACGAGAAGCGUAACGAGCUUGCGGACAGUCUCAGGCGGGCAGUUUGACUGGGGCGGUCGCCUCCGAAAGAGUAACGGAGGCGCCCAAAGGUUCCCUCAGCGCGGACGGAAACCGCGCGAAGAGUGCAAAGGCAGAAGGGAGCUUGACUGCGAGACGGACAGGUCGAGCAGGGACGAAAGUCGGGCUUAGUGAUCCGGUGGUAGAGAGUGGAAUUGCCAUCGCUCAACGGAUAAAAGCUACCCUGGGGAUAACAGGCUUAUCUCUCCCAAGAGUCCAUAUCGACGGGGAGGUUUGGCACCUCGAUGUCGGCUCAUCACAUCCUGGGGCUGAAGUAGGUCCCAAGGGUUGGGCUGUUCGCCCAUUAAAGUGGUACGCGAGCUGGGUUCAGAACGUCGCGAGACAGUUCGGUCCUCUAUCCUCUGUGGGCGUUGGAAAAUUGAGGGGUUCAGACCUUAGUACGAGAGGACCGGGUCUGACGCACCACUGGUGCAUCGGUUGUACUGUCAAGUGCAUGGCCGAGUAGCUAAGUGCGGACGGGAUAAGCGCUGAAAGCAUCUAAGCGCCAAGCCCUUCCCAAGAUGAGUUUUCCCUACAGGUUCGUGGAAGACCACCACGUUGAUAGGUCGCAGGUGUAAGUGCAGCAAUGUAUUGAGCCGAGCGAUACUAAUUACCAAUUGACUUCAUC